rnacentral:snRNA from 10 species
AGCUUUGCUCAGUGGCAGUAUCAUAGCCAAUGAGGUUUAUUUGAGGCAAAAUUAUUGCUAAUUGAAAAUUGAGUAGUUAGGAUUACAGGCAUGAGUCACUGACAUUAGCUAGGGCCAACUUUAAAUUUCAGUUCCACUUAACACACACCAUGAUGCAUCAGGUAGGUUGCAAAGGCAGACUG